CGCAAUUCUGGCAGUAACUUACUUUAAACCCUGCAACAAUCUACUGUAUAUGAGUAUACAGUACACUACUGGGCAGAGCAAAGUAUUGUGGGUAAUAAACGGAUACUUAUGUACAGUACUGAUGUACUGUAAAUUAAUUUACAGUAGUACAAUCCCCGGGAAAAAAUUGACCAACCACAACGUUGCUCUAUUUGAAAUUUUCUGACAAAGCCGCCAUCUUUGUGCUGCAGGAAAGCCGUUUGAGAUAUUGGUGAAUUUCAAACACUUUGUGAGAUGACAGAAUAUUGCUGAAGGAUCCUACAUGGAAGCUGUCUGAUUACACGGAGUGAUUCCUCUGGUGUGGUGUACCUCAGAGAAAUAAACACUGUUGCAAGAGCUGAGAAGAUGGCCAAGAUAUCCUUAUUGCUGGAUGGUAGCUCUGGUCGUAGUGGACCAUAUCUGCAAAUGCUUCUGAACAUUGACAGAAUUUCUAAAGAUGACUGAGAACAUUACUGAAGGAUCCUACAUGGAAGCUGUCUGAUUACACUGAGUGAUUCCUCUGGUGUGGUGUACCUCAGAGAAAAUAAACACUGUUGCAAGAGGUCACUGCUACUGCAGCAGAUGUCGCAAGUCUUUCUCUGCCCAACGCCCCAAGGCUGUUUGCACUUGGUUCAUUCUCAGAAUAAACCCAGAGGGCUCCAAAUGCCAGGCCAAGUCCAUCACCAGCAAGAAGACCGGUAAAAAGGUGCAAAGGAAGAGCAGCAGUGUCAACCCUAUUGUUGCUUCAUUCAUCAGGGAACUUGUUGAUUUUGACUGGCUGAAUUAUUAAUGCUUGACCUUUUGAAGUUCCAAUCACUUGUUUCUUUUAAGUAGUUCAGUCCGAGCAUUGCACCAAAGGCUCGAGGCCCUGUUGUUCUUGCUGUGUUUUCCCCCCUUCUCCCCGUUUCAAAACUUAUUUGGCACAGUUUUUCGAUAUUGUGUCAUGUAUAAGACUUUUAAAAGAGUGACUCUAUUGCGCACCCUAGCACAGAGAUGUUCGGGGCUGGAAUAUAGUUAUAGUUAUAGAAUAUAGUUGAAGCUACGGACUCUGGACCUUCUUUGUGGUAUGUACUUAUCUCAUUAAGAUGAACAAAAAAAGGUCAAUACGAGCAUAUGGCCACGCCCAACAGGAAAUGAGAUAUUGGACUGUUUUCCAUUUUGCAUACAUUGGAAUUUGAAGCACCCACCACAAACCAUACAACAGUUUCUUGGUUAAUGUUUGGGGUAUCUCAUUUUAAUAGAAUAGAAUCUUUUUAUUUGUCAAUGUGAAUGAAAUAAAAAAAAGAAAAAUAUGUAUACAACUGAAGAGUU